rnacentral:rRNA from 1 species
GAUCUUGCCCAAUGGACGAAAGUCUGAUGCAGCAACGCCGCGUGGGGGAUGAAGCUUCUCUGGAGUGUAAACCCCUUUCUGACCCGGAAGAAUGCCCGCAAGGGUUUUGACGGUACGGGUAUAAGAAGCCCCGGCUAACUACGUGCCAGCAGCCGCGGUAAUACGUAGGGGGCCAGCGUUGCUCGGAAUUACUGGGCGUAAAGGGUCUGUAGGCGGUGCCGGAAGUCGAUAGUGAAAUCCCUAGGCUUAACCUAGGGGCUGCUAGCGAAACUGCCGUGCUAGAGUGUGAGAGAGGCGAGUGGAAUUACGGGUGUAGCGGUGAAAUGCGUAGAUAUCCGUAGGAACAUCCGGAGGCGAAAGCGGUUCGCUGGAUCACAACUUGACGCUGGAGAAGACGAAAGCUAGGGGA